rnacentral:rRNA from 1 species
UACGUAGGGGGCAAGCGUUGUUCGGAAUUACUGGGCGUAAAGCGCGUGUAGGCGGUCUGGCAAGUCAGAUGUGAAAGCCCCGGGCUCAACUUGGGAACUGCAUUUGAUACUGCCAAGCUAGAGUACAGAAGAGGUGACUGGAAUUCCCAGUGUAGCGGUGAAAUGCGUAGAUAUUGGGAGGAACACCAGAGGCGAAGGCGGGUCACUGGGCUGAUACUGACGCUAAAGCGCGAAAGCCAGGGGAGCGAACGGG